UCGAGGAUCUUCUGCAAUGGGCGCAAGCCUGACAGAGCGACGCCGCGUGGGGGAGGAAGGCCUUCGGGUUGUAAACCCCUGUUGUCGGUUAAGAAUGCUGGGGUGCAAAUAGCGCUUCCAGUUGACUAAGGCCGAUGAGGAAGCCACGGCUAACUACGUGCCAGCAGCCGCGGUAAGACGUAGGUGGCGAGCGUUGUUCGGAAUCACUGGGCAUAAAGCGCGCGUAGGCGGCCAAGUCAGUCAGGUGUGAAAGCCCUCGGCUCAACCGAGGAACUGCGCCUGAUACUGCUUGGCUUGAGGUCCGGAGGGGAGAGUGGAAUUCCCGGUGGAGCGGUGAAAUGCGUAGAGAUCGGGAAGAACGCCGGCGGCGAAAGCGACUCUCUGGUCGGAAUCUGACGCUGAGGCGCGAAAGCUAGGGGAGCAAACGGGAUUAGAUACCCCCGUAGUCC
rnacentral:rRNA from 1 species